UGAUGGCGUAGGGAGGGAAUGUAGGAGGACGUAAGAGAGGCAGGGAAUGGGGACGGAGGGAGGAGGGCGGGACAGAGUGGAGGGAAGGCAGGAGUACCAGCCCUUCCUCCAAUUCCUCUUCCUUCUAACCUUAAAGUCAGUCAGCCAAUCCUUCUAUCUGUUGAGAUUCUUACUUUUCAAAGCAUUUCCCGUUUAUUUUUAAUGAUAUUUGAAUGACCUUCUCAGGCUUGACGAGAAUUGAUGUUUGCGUCUGUUUCAUGGUUCAAUAUAUACUUUCGUAUAUAUUUCGUCGUGGUGGAAGAGUUGGUAGCCCUGCACAUGUCCAUCCGAGAAUUACGUCACAGGUGGGCACAAGCCGCAGUCAUUCGCCGGCGCCUCCCUGCAGUCUCAGGUAGCAGCGGCGAUGCGUAGUGCUGUUGCUUUGUACUGAGUGAGCGUGAAAGAACCCUCGUGACGAUAUAUGGUGAUGGACGUGUGGGCCUUUACGUUGUGGAAAUAGAAGUUGAGGGACGGGGAACACUUAAUGGGUGGUUGACCAUCAUCAGGACCGCCAUUCCACCACAUUCAUGGCCACCCUACCCGCGCUCAUCCAGUCACGUCCCCAUAGUGCAGCGCCCCUCAUCUGUAUGUAUGCUGAAGAGACACGGAAAAAUUAACACUCGUAUCUCUGUGAAAUAUUGUGCGCCAUAAAGUCUCUUGUCCUCUA